rnacentral:rRNA from 1 species
GGCUGUCGUCAGCUCGUGUCGUGAGAUGUUGGGUUAAGUCCCGUAACGAGCGCAACCCUUGUCCUUAGUUACCAGCACGGUUAUGGUGGGCACUCUAAGGAGGACUGCCGGUGACAACCGGAGGAAGGUGGGGAUGACGUCAAGUCAUCCAUGGCCCUUACGGCCUGGGCUACACACGUGCUACAAUGGUCGGUACAAAGGGUUGCCAAGCCGCGAGGUGGAGCUAAUCCCAUAAACCGAUCGUAGUCCGGAUCGCAGUCUGCAACUCGACUGCGUGAAGUCGGAAUCGCUAGUAAUCGUGAAUCAGAAUGUCACGGUGAAUACGUUCCCGGGCCUU